GACGAACGCUGGCGGCGUGCUUAACACAUGCAAGUCGAACGGAAAGGCCCUGCUUUUGUGGGGUGCUAGAGUGGCGAACGGGUGAGAAACACGUGAGUAACCUGCCCUUGACUUUGGGAUAACUUCAGGAAACUGGGGCUAAUACAGGAUAGGAGCUCCUGCUGCAUGGUGGGGGUUGGAAAGUUUCGGCGGAUGGGGAUGGACUCGGGGCUUAUCAGCUGGUGGGGGGGGGAGUGGCUAACCAAGGCAUUGACGGGUAGCCGGCCUGAGAGGGUGACCGGCCACAUUGGGACUGAGAGACGGCGCAGACUCGUACGGGAGGCAGCAGUGGGGAAUAUUGCACAAUGGGCGGAAGCCUGAUGCAGCAACGCCGCGUGCGGGAUGACGGCCUUCGGGUUGUAAACCGCUUUCGCCUGUUACGAAGCGUGAGUGACGGUAAUGGGUAAAGAAGCACCGGCUAACUACGUG
rnacentral:rRNA from 1 species